rnacentral:lncRNA from 1 species
UUCAUUCCUGCAGCAGCUCAUGCUGAACCCUGGCUGGAUUAGCAGAAGGUGAAAUGUGCCACAGGAGAUUGCUGCUGGGUUCAGGGCAGGAUGGCAGCGGAAGAGAAACGAGGUAGUGGUGUCCCCCAGGAUUUAUUUCCAGCCAAAGAACAGCUAUAAAAAGCAUCCUUGAUCCUGGAAGCAGGGUGCAAAAAGCAAAAUCUGCUGUUUGGGUGAGUGUCAUGGCUAAAUACAGUGAUUAAAACAUAUAGCCUGGCAUUUUUCGGAGACGGUGCAGGCUGGGAAGAGCUGCUGCUGUGGUAAACAGAGACUCAGGAUCAGCUGGAUCCUUUGUCAGUGCUGCAUUCACUGAAAAUUCAAAAUACUGUGGGUUUAGUUUGGAUUUAAAAUCAUCAAAUCCUCCUCAAAUACAGUUGUAGAUAUUUUUGCCUCUGCAGCUGGCUGGCUGUGUUACAUUUUUCCUUUGCAGAGAGGCUGACAACAUUGGUUAAACCAAGAGAAAAUUAACUCUACCCCAGGGGAAACCAGGACACCCCAAAGCGCUUCCAGAGCAGAUGGAGACUGAUCUGUGGCACCACUCCCAGAUCCAAUUCUGCCUCACAGUUCCAGAAUCUGGCCAGCUGCCUGAAAUGGCAGCACUUUCCAGGGCAGGUCCAGGCAGCGCUCGGAAUGCAGGAAUUGCAGCACAGGAGCUCUGGGGAAGCACAGCCCAGGCAGCUGCUGCUCCCUGGGCAGGUUUUGUGCAGAGACUGAGGCUCAUCCAUGGAACAAACACCUCCAACCUCUGCUGACAUCCCUGUGCAGAAUAAUCUGAAUUUUGCCUGCUGGCUCCACAGACUCUCAGUCUGCCAAGCCCACCCUGCUCCUGCUCGGUGUUCCUGUAAAUCCUCAGCAUCCCUGCAGCCGAAUCGCUCAGCCUGGGAUUUCUGCUGGGAACCCAUCGGGCUGCUGGCUCCAGAAAUGUGCU